GGCAUGCGCWGCUACCAUGCAGUCGAGCGGCACACGGGUACUUGUACCUGGUGGCGAGCGGCGGACRGGUGAGUAAUGCCUAGGAAUCUGCCUAGUAGUGGGGGAUAACSUCUAGAAACGGGCGCUAAUACCGCAUACGUCCUACGGGAGAAAGUGGGGGAUCUUCGGACCUCACGCUAUUAGAUGAGCCUAGGUCGGAUUAGCUAGUUGGUGAGGUAAUGGCUCACCAAGGCUACGAUCCGUAACUGGUCUGAGAGGAUGAUCAGUCACACUGGAACUGAGACACGGUCCAGACUCCUACGGGAGGCAGCAGUGGGGAAUAUUGGACAAUGGGCGAAAGCCUGAUCCAGCCAUGCCGCGUGUGUGAAGAAGGUCUUCGGAUUGUAAAGCACUUUAAGUUGGGAGGAAGGGCAGUUACCUAAUACGUGAUUGUUUUGACGUUACCGACAGAAUAAGCACCGGCUAACUCUGUGCCAGCAGCCGCGGUAAUACAGAGGGUGCAAGCGUUAAUCGGAAUUACUGGGCGUAAAGCGCGCGUAGGUGGUUUGUUAAGUUGAAUGUGAAAGCCCCGGGCUCAACCUGGGAACUGCAUCCAAAACUGGCAAGCUAGAGUAUGGUAGAGGGUGGUGGAAUUUCCUGUGUAGCGGUGAAAUGCGUAGAUAUAGGAAGGAACACCAGUGGCGAAGGCGACCACCUGGACUGAUACUGACACUGAGGUGCGAAAGCGUGUGGAGCACACAGGAUUAGAUACCCUGGUAGUCCACGCCGUACACGAUGUCAACUAGCCGUUGGGAGCCUUGAGCUCUUAGUGGCGCAGCUAACGCAUUAAGUUGACCGCCUGCGGAGUACGGCCGCAACGUUAAGACUCAAAUGAAUUGACGGGGGCCCGCACAAGCCGGUGGAGCAUGUGGUUUAAUUCUAAGCAACGCGAAGACCCUUACCAGGCCCUGACAUCCAAUGAACUUUCUAGCGCCCCGAUUGAUGCCUUCGGGCACAUUGAAACAAGUGGCUGCAUGGCUGUUCUUCCGCUCCUGCCCCGAAAAGUU
rnacentral:rRNA from 1 species